rnacentral:lncRNA from 1 species
CCAAUGAUUUGAUGUUUUGUGCUUGUUUUCGAGGAAAGGUAGCUGAACCGUUACGACUUCCAAAGCGCUGGCGCCGUCGAAUUAAAAAUGCAAUUAUUAGGAUAGCUGGUGUUUCUAGAAGCAGACGCGUUGGAGAGGUGCGUUGGAGAGGUACCUAUGCCCAUUUGAUGAGGACAUCGGACAACGUUUACUUAUUUUAUUUAAAUUUUAUUUAUUUUCUAGGACUAUUAUUUAAAUUUGGACUUGUAUGAGCUCGGGCCCAAGCUCAUUAGGGUUGCUUUACUAUUUAAACCUAUUUUGCAUUGUAAUUUUGAAACGAUGAUGAAUGAAUAAUUAUUUUGGUGGCUUAUGGCGCAUCCCUCCCCUUUUUCUAUUGAAUUCUUCUUCUUCUA